rnacentral:rRNA from 1 species
UGGGGAAUAUUGCACAAUGGGCGCAAGCCUGAUGCAGCCAUGCCGCGUGUGUGAAGAAGGCCUUCGGGUUGUAAAGCACUUUCAGCGGGGAGGAAGGCGUUAAGGUUAAUAACCUUGGCGAUUGACGUUACCCGCAGAAGAAGCACCGGCUAACUCCGUGCCAGCAGCUGCGGUAAUACGGAGGGUGCAAGCGUUAAUCGGAAUUACUGGGCGUAAAGCGCACGCAGGCGGUCUGUCAAGUCGGAUGUGAAAUCCCCGGGCUCAACCUCGGAACUGCAUUCGAAACUGGCAGGCUAGAGUCGUGUAGAGGGGGGUAGAAGUCCAGGUGUAGCGGUGAAAUGCGUAGAGAUCUGUAGGGAUACCUGUGGAGAAGGCGGCCCCCUGAGCAAAGACUGACGCUCAGGUGCGAAAGCGUGGGGGGCAAACAGG